CGAUAGCUUUCAAGUCUCUGUCUUAUCUCUACAUGCUUCUCUUCUUUGGCUAAUUCUCUACCAUUUCUUAAAUUAUCUCUUACCUUUCACCUCUCUAUUCUAUAUAAAUGCAUAAACAUACGUUAGUAAUAUUGAUAAGUAAAGAGGAUUAUUAAGAUGACAUCUUCCAUAGUCACUCCCAUUGUUCUCUUUCUUCUUUUUCUUCUCCUGUCUCCAUAUAUGAAUGAAGCCCUUGGUACACAGAUGGAACUAGGCAAACUUGGUGAAGAAAAGACAAACCAUCCUGAUCAAGUGAUGGUCCAAAGGAUUCCACGGAUUUCAAUUCCGCGACGGUUUUUAGCGCUUCGGUAUUGCCGACGCUACACCCGAUGUCAGCCUCCUCCGCUUCCAAUCUCUCCCAAAAGCACAAACGGACUUGGUCACUGAUCUCAUUAUAGCUUCGGUUGGGUCUUCGGAUGCCUCUAUAUGUAUCUUUAUGCACGCUUUUUACAUUGUGAUUUGUUUUGCGAAUUCUGUUCUCCAUCCAUAUGCAGGAUUGUUUGUCAUAAUUUGCAGAUUUAUCGAAUGCAAAUAUAUAUACAUAUAUAUAUAUAUAUAUGCAUAUGUGUGAUAGUUUCUGCUGAAUAUUGUAUAACUACAUUAGUUGAUUGGAACAAUACGCAGAGAAUUAGAGCA